UACGAUUCGGGCUUGCUUUUU
rnacentral:siRNA from 1 species